rnacentral:rRNA from 1 species
AUGGCUCCGGGCAUGGGGGUGGGCAGCAGCGACGGGCGGCACGAUGACGAGGCCGUACUCACCGAGUUCCUCUCCUCCCUCAUGGACUACAACCCCACGAUUCCGGACGAGCUCGUGGAGCACUACCUCGGUCGCAGCGGCUUCCACUGCCCCGACCUACGCCUUACAAGGUUGGUUGCUGUAGCUACUCAAAAGUUCAUUUCAGACAUCGCAAGUGACUCCCUUCAGCAUUGCAAAGCCAGGGUUGCAGCACCUAUCAAAGACAACAAGAGCAAACAACCGAAGGAUAGACGUCUUGUAUUGACGAUGGAUGAUCUUUCAAAAGCCCUGCGUGAGCUAGGAACAUCUUACCAGCAUACCAGUACAACGGCACCUUACAUGAAAUCAGCAUUUAAGCUCCUGACACUUACGUGUCUAAUUGACAAACGAUUUCCUACAGUUUUGCCUUCUAACCAUGUUUUGGAGUCCAUACUGGUGGCAGCUCCUUAA